UUUUUUUUUUUUUUUUUGGGUUAGGAUAUAUCUGCUUAAAAACCUUUGUGAACAAAAUAAGGAAAUAUCUUCGAUUUUGAGGGAAAUAGUUCUAUCUUCUAUCAUCAUUUGGACAACUGAAAUGGAGCUUUCAUUUUUGAGAAAAUUGUUGGCAUUUAAAUCUUCAAUAAAAUGUUGUCAAAGAAUGAUUUAAUAUUUUGAAGUAGAAGAAUAUGGAAUUCUUCAUUAGCAAAUGCUUUUAAAGUUGAAUUUUCUAAAUAUUGAAAUAUUUUGUGGUGAAGAGAAUAUUUUACGGUUUGAGUAAUGCAGUUUUUGUUCCUCUUUAUAGGCAUUGCCUGAGUCUUAAUUUUGAACUGAGCUCAUCUUGGAGACAAUGACCUCUGAGAAAAUAUUUUUCUUCCUUUUAGGCAUUCUAGUAUUUUGAAACUUGAUAAGGAAUUUUAUAUGCGGCCACUAUAGGUAAAUUUUGGUUUUUGGUUAAAAUUUAAGUAUUUUUGGUUUUAAGAAUCUAGGCUUUGCAUCAAUAAUUAUAUGCUAGUGCUGUGUUAGGAAGAGAGAAAGAAUGUAGGUAGAAAGAGAGAAAAGAAUCAAAG
rnacentral:misc_RNA from 1 species